GACGAACGCUGGCGGCGUGCUUAACACAUGCAAGUCGAACGGAAAGGCCUGCUUUCCCUUGUGGAUUGCGGGUACUCGAGUGGCGAACGGGUGAGUAACACGUGAGUGAUCUGCCCCCAACUUGGGUAUAAGCCUGGGAAACUGGGUCUAAUUCCCGAUAGGACUGCAGGGUGGUGCCUGUGGUGGAAAACGAUUUUCUAGUGGUUGGGGAUGAGCUCGCGGCCUAUCAGCUUGUUGGUGGGGUAAUGGCCUACCAAGGCGGCGACGGGUAGCCGGCCUGAGAGGGUGGACGGCGACAUUGGGACUGAGAUACGGCCCAGACUCCUACGGGAGGCAGCAGUGGGGAAUAUUGCACGAUGGGCGGAGGCCUGAUGCAGCGACGCCGCGUGGGGGAUGACGGCCUUCGGGUUGUAAACUCCUUUCGACCGCGAGGAAGCCACCUGGUUGGAAGGGUGGUGACGGUAGUGGUAGAAGAAGCACCGGCUAACUACGUG
rnacentral:rRNA from 1 species